rnacentral:rRNA from 1 species
AGGUGCUGCAUGGCUGUCGUCAGCUCGUGUCGUGAGAUGUUGGGUUAAGUCCCGCAACCGAGCCGCAACCCUUAUCAUUAGUUGCUACGCAAGGGCACUCUAAUGAGACUGCCGGUGACAAACCGGAGGAAGGUGGGGAUGACGUCAAGUCCUCAUGGCCCUUAUGGGUAGGGCUUCACACGUCAUACAAUGGUCGGUACAGAGGGUUGCCAAGCCGCGAGGUGGAGCCAAUCCCAGAAAGCCGAUCGUAGUCCGGAUUGUUCUCUGCAACUCGAGAGCAUGAAGUCGGAAUCGCUAGUAAUCGCGGAUCAGCAUGUCGCGGUGAAUACGUUCCCGGGUCUU